GAUGAAGAACGUAGCGAAAUGCGAUACGUAAUGUGAAUUGCAGAAUUCAGUGAAUCAUCGAAUCUUUGAACGCAUAUUGCGCUCUCUGGUAUUCCGGAGUGCAUGCUUGUUUGAGUAUCAGUAAACACCUCAACUUCCAUAUCUUUUUUGAAAUGGGAGUUGGACUUGAGUGAUCCCAACGCUUUUCCUCACCGAAAAGUGGCGGGUUACUUGAAAUGCAGGUGCAGCUGGACUUUUCUCUGAGCUAUAAGCAUAUCUAUUUAGUCUGCCUAAAAACAGAUUAUUACCUUUGCUGCAGCUAACAUAAAGGAGAUUAGUUCUUGUGCUGACUGAUGCAGGAUUCACAAAGACAGGCUUCGGCCGACUUUGUAAACUCGAUCUCAAAUCAAGUAAGACUACCCGCUGAACUUAAGCAUAUCAAUAAGCGGAGGA
rnacentral:misc_RNA from 1 species